CUCCAUUCCAGAGUACUACUGGCUGCUAAUUUGUUCCAGAGAACUACAAGCUGGUACUUCUGUAAGAUGCCUACAAGCUCCUAUAUGGUGGCACACACGUUGUCGAAAGUAUCAGUGCCAUGGAGAAGAAGUUUUUCCUCUGUUUUGCAGGGUGUGUGUGGAGGAAACCCGGAGCUCCCGGAGGAUACCCACACGGACACAGGGAGAACAUGCAAACUCUGCACAGAAAGGACCCAGACCGUCCCGUCUGGA